rnacentral:rRNA from 1 species
UACAGAGGGUGCGAACGUUGCUCGGAAUUACUGGGCGUAAAGCGCGUGUAGGCGGUCUGUUAAGUUGGUAGUGAAAUCCCAUGGCUCAACCAUGGAAGUGCUGCCAAAACUGGCAGGCUGGAGUGCCGGAGAGGGUGGCGGAAUUCCCAGUGUAGAGGUGAAAUUCGUAGAUAUUAGGAAGAACACCGGUGGCGAAGGCGGCCCACUGGAUCGGUACUGACGCUAGGUGCGAAAGCGUGGGGAGC